UACGUAGGGGGCUAGCGUUGUCCGGAAUCAUUGGGCGUAAAGAGCGUGUAGGCGGCCCGGUAAGUCCGCUGUGAAAGUCAAAGGCUCAACCUUUGAAUGUCAGCGGAUACUGCCGGGCUAGAGUCCGGAAGAGGCGAGUGGAACUCCUGGUGUAGCGGUGGAAUGCGCAGAUAUCAGGAAGAACACCCGUGGCUAAGGCGGCUCUCUAGUACGGUACUGACGCUGAGACGCGAAAGCGUGGGGAGCGAACAGG
rnacentral:rRNA from 1 species